GGCAGGAUCCAGUUUGCACCAGGCAGGAUCCGUCCCAUCAGCGCCCGCGAGGGCACGGCCAGCCCGGUGCCACGAGGACGUCGGAGGGGAGGCGGUGGCCGGGAGCACGUGAGGAGGACAGGUUUAAUUAUACAGCGGGACUUGGCGAAGUUGCACUUUUUAAGUGUGCAAAAGCAAUGUCUGCGGGCGCAGCAGCCUGGCAGAGCUGGGCUGGAUGGGGUGGGAGAGAAGGGUGCUGCUGCUGACCCCGCCGCUGCAGAUCCUGCAGUCCCCACCACCGCAGACCCCAUCACCCGAACACCAUCAGCACCCGAACAGCGGUGGGGGGUUACAAACCACCCUCGCCAAGCAGGAAGCGAGCAGUUUCUCUAUUCUUUUUUUUUUUUGCCUCACUUCCUGAGCUUUGAGUCAUUAGGUGUCAGGCUUUCAAGUUUAUUUCACCAGCCUGGAAUGCAUCUUUAAAAAUAAUAGUCAUUGAAAAAAAUGAAAGCUGAGAUUCAGCUGUAAUCCCAUGACUCAAGGAGGUGUGGAAGGAAGAAAAUCAUGAAAUCCCAUGAGUUCCAACAAUGAAAGCAUGAGAGCUGGCAAGACUGUGGCACAUAAAUCAUCAAAACUAAACACCAUCAGUCAAAAUGAAAGGAAUUAAGCCAAUCUCACCAGGCUGUUUUAAUUAUUUUUUAAUGAGGAUUUGCUCAUUCAGAAAAUUCACCCAUGACAAUGGCCGCCCCGAGCCAUUCACACCGAGCAGGGCCCGUCCCUGCGGCGGACACGCAUGGCUUGGCCCCGCCGCUCCCGCCCCGGGGCUGCUCCGGACCCGGCGCAAGGCCAGGGAUGGGGAGCCGGGAAUGAGGGUGCCAUUAACUGCCAAGAAGGGGAGAGCAGGGCAAAUCAACCAAAAAUAGCCGAGGAAUCCCAUUUUUGCCAUUUGCUUUGUUGCAACCCAAAAUGUUGUGCUGGGGAAGUAAUGAGCAAAAUCCUCUCUGGAUGGUCCCGGUGGGUUAGUGGGUGCUGUGCUACGGCAGAUCCCCGAGGGGGGCACAGCCCCGAGCCCCUCCAGCAAAACCCCUGCCAUCGCCACAAGCAUUCCUGGGGGAAAGAGCUAUCGGGGAGCGGGGAUGCUGGCGCAGGGGUAUAGACCCCAUCCCUGAGUGGCAAUUGCCUGUCGUGAAGAGCCCGCGGAGGGAUGCAAACACCCGCGCUGGAGCGGCAGCAGCCCCCAUUAAUAUUUCGGCGGCUGUUGGGCAAAGCGGCUCAGAGCAGGAUUAUUGGCAGCCUGUCUGCACUAUGCCGACAAGAUACUCCACCCCUGAGACUUGCUCUCACUACCCUUUAUGCUAUUGAUUUUUCUUUUAGCAAGGCAGACGUGAAGCAGGGAAGAAACGGAGGGAGCACGAGCCACUGUGUUUCUGCGGUGCUGUGUUCAAGAGCAGCCGGGACGGGAGGAAACCGAGUGGGCACGUUGGUCGGGGUGUCUGGUCGUCAGGAGCCAGGGCCGGUGACUUUCUGCCAAAUUUCUUUCUUGCCCUUGUUUGUCCAGCUCCGGUACCCCCUGCCAACGCACAAGGGCUUAAGCAGCGAGAUUUGACUUGUGGUUUUCAGUCUGUUUGAUCCUCAGGGGGAGACCGGACCGGGGCUUGCAGGAGGCGAGGGGGGAGACACACACGGGACAAAUGUUUCGUUGAAAGCCCUGCCGUGCAGAAGGCAUUGGCAGGGACCCCUGGAAAAGGUCCAUCGUGAAGAGGAGAUGCUGCCAGCACCAGGUCUCCCGGCGGUGCUCCCACACCUCUCCUGCUCCAGGUGAUGCCCCAGUUCACCUUUGCUUGCUUCUGCGGGCUCCAUGGCUUCUGCAAGAUGAAGAGGAAGAAAGAAGAGUCCAGCGCGGAGCAGGAGACAGCAGUGUGAGCAGCAGACUCGUGCGUGUGCCCUGCCGAGCCGUACCUCGGGACUCCGUCCCCUUCCCCUCGAUACUUGUGUGACCGGGGGAGAUCUGAAGCACGGGAAUGACCUUGCCGAGAGGCAAAAACAGAUUCUGUGGAAGUUAUUCAGGUGCUGCAGCAAUUCUGACCGGACCGCCAGCCUGGCCGGGUGCUGAGCCCUCAGCACCCGAACAGUCAGUGUCGGAGGGACCCUGCGUCCCAGCGGGGUAGAGAUUUCCCUCCUGAGCUAGCUGACCUGCCCUUGCUCCAACAAGUCUCAACGGACAGACCUGGAGGGGUUUUCAAAAGCCGGGGCCAGACCUUGUCCUUCCUGGAGUCAUAGUGCCGGAGAGGCUGGCCCCUGGCUGGUAAGUUGUCCUGCUGCUGCAGAAUUGGGUGAACGUCGAAACCAAGCUGGUUUUGGGUUUGUUUUUUUUUUUUUCAAAGUCUAUCUCAAGCUGAUGUCUGUGACUCCAAGAAGCCAUUCUCCAUGCCUCUGCCCUGCCUGGUCCCGUGGGUGCAGCACACCAGAGCGUUUUGGAGGCACCAGACACAUGGACCCUGCUCGGACACUGUUCCCUGUGUGACCGGUGCGGGCUGGGAGCUCUCGUGCCACGGGACCCCCACCCCCUGCACACCCACCUGAGCCACGAGGCUCAGCGGGAGGUUGUUCUUGUUUGGCAAACGGGCCAAAAUCCCUGAGCUCAGGGCACCUGAGAUUCACUCCAGGGACACUUCUAGCAUAAACGUGUCCUCCAGAGCAGAAAUCCUUAAAUUCUUCCGUACUGCGCUUCCCUUCUCCAUAUGGAGACCUCCUGAGCCUGGGGCAAAAAGCAAUGCCCGGGGCUGCCAGGCAGGAGCCGCUUGCCCCCAGGGUUAGUCCUGCUCCCCCCACCGCCCCCUCCCGCGGUGGUACCCCCCUCUCUCUCCCACCCUGUCUGUGCAUCCUUCCCACCCACCGCUGAAGCCAUACGGGAGCUCCCUGCGUGCUGUGCCUUCCCGGAGGUGUCUCAGGCACACAUCCCCGCUCAGAUACCCUCCAAACAGCCCCAGGCUCUGUGCGCUGGAAAGCUGGCGAGUGUUGGUGAGCCAGGGUCCCCCCGGGGUUUGGGGACCGCUGCUUGGAUCUCGGUGCCCGGUUCCCCGUCCCUGGAUGCACCCGGCAUUCGAGAUCUCAUUUCAGGCACCAGCGGCUGCAAUGGCCCCAGUGCUCCCCUUUGCAAGACGUGCUGGGGAGCAGCAGGGACAGCCCCUAGGAAAGGGUAAAUGCUCAGGGACAGCCAUGCCCAAUGCCCGUCAUCACGGGGGGUACUGACUUGAGCGGAUUGACACCCCCGAGGAGCCCCCACCACAGCAAAUGAGCACACUCGGAGAACAAAUCCUCCCCCUGUGAUUAACUGGCUUGACCUUUCCAGGGUUUGCCCAGUGCUCCCAGACCAAAUUUGCACUCGGCAAACAGAGCUGUAUCUGCCACUGACAGCUCCCCUUCGGAGGAGAUUUGUUGGCUCAGCCAACAUCCAGAACCAACAAGGCUAUUAUUUUAUUUUCUUAUCCAAAGGAUUUAGCACAAAAACCUGAGCCUGGCCAGGAGCACCAAUAACACAAGGUGCAGCUGAGGAGCUUUAAAUCCUCUCUGCUGGGCGCCUGUUGUCUGGGCUGUGGUGGGAAGCAGCUGACUGGUGUGGGAUAUGCUGCUCGGAGCCAGCUCGGAGGCGGCAGCCAGCCGGGACCGGGCACGGGGGCCUGGACUGCAUGUGGUCUCUGUGCGUCAGUCCCUGGGGUCGGGAGGCUCGGGGUACUUUGCUUUUUCCCCUCUUUAAGCCCAAGGGCUGUGAGCUGUGGGAUCCAGCGGUGCAGUCCCUGGGCGAGCGUUCCCAGUCGGGUAUUUCCCAGCUGGGCUCCAGGUUUCGGCACAGGAGAGGGCACGCGGUGGCACGUGAGGUGCCCUGCGAGGGACCAGCCAGGAGAACGGUCCGGCUUCCCUGUCAUUUGUCACCAUCGAGCUCAGCAGGUUUCAGCCUGGCACGCACAGAUUGUGGAAAAUACUGUGGUUAGUCCUGGCUGUGAUGUCUCCUCUGGGACCUCUGGGGCUGCAGCAACCUUUUACUUAGGCAGCGCAGGAGGAGCUGCUUCACUGAGGCACCGAGGGUAGCGGAGGUUAAUGCCGAUUCACCCGCGUUUUGGCUUGGCUGAUGGUGCCCCAUUCCUGGGGGGGACACAAGUUGGGUCCCUGCUAAUGACGAUCUGAGCAGGGAUCACCCUUGUGAGCGCAGCGCGGGGAGCUGGGGCUGUUCGGGCAGCGGGCGCAUGCUCCAGGGAGACCAUCAAAAGCAGGGGUUUGGGGAAAAUCAUGGGCAGUUUUGCUCAGUCAGGCUUUACAAAAGCUGAAUUAUUACUGUGGGGUUGAGGGGGGAUGGCCCAGUUCAUUACUGUGUAACCUUCGCUGCUAAACCUCUUGGAUUACAGAUCCAUCAUGGUUUGGCAGCUAAAGAUGUGUAGCUAACGGCCACCCCGAGAUUUCGUGUCUAGGAGGAGGCUGGGGUUGCACUGAGAGCAGCCCUGGAGAUGAGGUUGGUGCAUGACGGGAUGGUGCUCCAGGGGCUCCCGGCUGUGGUGGGAGUCCCCCAGGCUGGUCUGGGAUGAGCUGGGAGCUCUGCUGGAAACGCAUCGUGCUCACGUUGUGCAUGCUGGGCGUACGUUGUACGUGGCGCACACGCAGCGCACACGCAGCGCGCUGUGCACACACUAUGCACACGCUGUACACGGUGCACACACAGUGCUCGUGCUAUGCACACGUUGUGCACGCACGGCACACGCUCUGUGUGUGUGUGCGGCAGCUCUGUGCCUGGUCAGGUUUUCCUUGUGUCUUGAAUAUUCCUGUCUCCAGUGAGGGGUUCCCAAGCCAGGUAUUUAAUGAAUGUAGCACGUACAAUUGAGACAGGCAGACACUCACCCACACCUAUUAUAUGUUCAUUUGAAAACAGAAUAAAUGAACCAAGUGCAGUAUGAAUGUUAAAGCGCUUGAGCUACAGUUAUUUUUAAAGAGAACUUCCCACCUCCCUGGAUGGAUGUAGCUCUCAAAGCAACAAUAUGUUUUCCACCAUGGCUCCGAGCAAAAUGGUUUGCUCCUGGAUUGACCUCUAUUGUGUUCAUAAAUGGCUUGUGGUGCUUUUUGAUUCCCCCAUCAUAAUGACUUGACCUCUAGAUUUAUGGCUGAAGGUCCUUUCAUCUGCACAUUGUUUCCCACCAGACUCCAGCCUGGCGCUUUUCUGUAGCAAACCUGCCAAGAGCUGAGCCCCGUGCCGCUCGCCCCUCCGAGCUGCCCAGCCAGCUUCCACUGACAAAUUUGCAGUGGGCAAAAGCAAACAGGGUUUUUUUCCUCUCUUUCCAGUGGCAGCAUUUUAAUAGGACAGCGUAUGCUUCUGAGACUGCGAAGCCUGGGAAGUUGACAGCUCUUGUCACAGUACAAACACUCUCUCCCUGUCUCUCUCUCCUCCACAUUUGCACAACCCCUGGCAUUUUUAUAAACUAAGAGGUUGCUUAUUGUUCAGGAUUUCCUCUUGCCCUCCCAAGUUCAGACUGCCUUUGAUUCUUCCACCCUGCUUUCGCUUCUCCACUCCAGAAGCAACUGCACCCGAGCCAUACUGUAGUAGAUAAAUCUUACUUGUAUGGGUGGCAAUGAGUUGUAAACUGGAGCUGUCCGUCCAGUGCUUUUCCAAGUGCUUUUCCAAGGCUUUCCCGUCCUCUGGAGAGAGGAAGGGAGGUGCAGGGACCCCCCAAGGCUAAGCAGUGAGCCUGAAGCUGAGGCUGCACAAUCGCCCGUGUCCUGGCUGCUCGCAGGCAUCCUUGGGGAAAAGGGUGCAGCAGAAGUGUGCGAGAUGUAACUUCUCCUCUCCGUUACAGAGCUGGCUCAGGGUACAGCUGAGCUCCCUGCAAAUCCCCCGUUACAACACGAGCCUUAUCUGUACUGUGGGUUCCCAGGGUUUAUGGAGAGACCCUCCACCUCCAUCCCUCCUCAGGAAGAGGAGAAGCCGUGCUGCCAAAAGAUGCAUUUGUUCCCACCAGCAAUAAUCCUUCUUUAAUCCUAUUACACUAAGGAAAGCAUCCAACUUCCUUCGAAGCAGACGGUGGGAUGCACGGAGGAGGGAGGCCCCUCUCACCACGGGCUGCAGCCAGUGCCUGCCCUGGCCAGGUCCCCGCCGGGGUUUUGGAGGGGGCUUGGUCCACGGCUCGGCCCCUUCCCGUGUGCCCCGACUUUUCCUCCAGUGCCAAAGGGCUGGAGCGAAGCCGGCAGCAGCCAGCGACACCCCUGCACCAGCUCUGUGGAUGGAGAAGUAACAUCGUCUGAAACGAGGAGCUGCCCGUACCAAGGGUUCAGGGUCUGGAGCUGAUGCUGGAGUGUCAGGAAAAAUCAGUUUUAAUGAUCAAAAUAACCAAAGCACCGCCUCAGGCUCACUUCCAAGAUAGGCAGUGUAGCCCCUUUGUAAAUAUUCCCUUACUUGGGAGCAGGGGAGCCUACAGAUGUUUAUUUGCAUGACAAUAGCCGGGUUGGGGACCAAAACAUGUGUGUGUGUGCGGGGGCGAGGGGUGCAGCCUCCAUCGGCAGACGGGCUGGUGACGGAGGUGGUCCUGCCAGGGGAGCUUGUGCUGCGCCGAUUUGGGAUGAAGAAAUAUUUGUGCAGUGAGCUGGAAGGGUACACACACAAGUUAUAGGAGGGAAGCCAAGAAAAAAAGCUGCAGCUUGAACUCUUGUCUUGUUACAUGUUCUUAAAGGUUUUGCUGGGGAUAUGAAAAAGGACCAGGGAAUAACCCCGGUGAUCCUGAGGCAGAUGCUCUGCAGCAGGACAGACGGCUUCCACCCAAACACCCUGCAAGCAGCAGCUUGACAUAGCGCAUUGGAUUUAAGACGAGAGCUGUGUUUGCUACAGGCAGGGCAGUUUCUGCAUCGCAGGCGGUAACGAAGAGAAAAAUGCCUCUUUUUUUUCAGAAAUCACCUGGUCAAAGCCAUCCUCCCUCCCUCGCGCAGGCAGGAUUUUCUUCCAGCUGCUCGACGUUCCCGUGGUGACCCGCUGCCCUCCUGCUAGCCAGCGCUGGGGGAUUGCGCAGAGAAAUAUCUCAGGCAGCCUGAUAAAAUCUCCAGUUCAUGGUUGGGCUCGAUCCUCCCAGCCCGUGCCUGCUCGCCUGCCUGUGCAUCUGUCUUCCCAUAGUUCAAAAAACAACUGGUCUCUGUAGCUGCCCCAAAACACCACAUUUUUCAGCAUGUUACUCUGAGGACAAAGUACAGACAGUUUCAGGCAGCUCCAGGUGGGCACCAGGAAGCUCACGUUGUUUUGGGAAAAUGCUGAUCUUGUUCUGUUCCUAUUUUUGCACAUCAGCACAGCCUCCUGAAUUCAGGGUUUGCAGCCCCAGUGCUGUCCUUGGCGAGGACCUUUGGAUUUAUCUUUGGGACAAAAAAAAGAAAGUCGGUGAAACACAAAGCGCAUUUCUUGAAUGUAACUUUGUUUUUGCACAGUCCCCCUGUAAUGCGUGGUGACCACGCGAGUAGUGCACUCGUGGACUUAAACCUCUAGGGAUUAAUCACUGCUCAGGAGUUUAUUACAAGUGUAAAGAUACGGGUCAAAUUCAACCUUUGUUUUAUGCCAGUAUAAAUCCAGAGAGACAGUCUGUAUACUGAGAUGUCUACAAAAAUAUUAAUUAUACAGAAAUGAGCUUGGACUGGACCCCACCAUGCAGGUUUCUCCUAGAUGUGUCUCAGCCCCAUCCCUAUGCAAAAGCACGUAAACAACAAGCACAAGCAGGCAAAGACAGGCUUACAGGGGGCACGCACUAAGGAAGCCCUGACUCAACAAAGCCCUGCUUAAAUUUAAGUGUUUGCUUUGGGAUUUUGCUCGAUCCAAUAAAUUUGCCUAAUUCCCCCCUAAUAAACCUGUAUCGAUCCCCGCAGAAGUGCGCAACGACCAAGCAGAGGGAAAGGCACAGAACCGUCCUUGCAGCAUCUCCCUAAUGUUGCCUAACAAGGAUCAAAGCAUUAAACCUCUCUUUAUUGUCCUUUUCUUUUAUCCCACUGUCUGGAUUUCAUCACGAAGGGACCUACCCAGACAUGUUCCUCAGGAGUCUCCCAGCCCCAGUAGCCAUAGAAACCGGCUAUUUUUAGUCUGUUUUCAUGAUGCCAGUAAAUGACUUUUCUCUACUUUGGAGAGACAGAAGACCAGGUCAGCCUUGCGUGCUGGCGGAUGGUAAAUGAGCAUCCUCGGCAAGGCAGGCGUCCUCUCCCAUGCAGUACUGUACGUUUGAGAAAAUAAAUGUGGCAUUUGUAAAUAAGCGCACAUAUCUACGCACAGAGUAGAUCACUUCCUAUGGUAUUUCCUACGCUAGAGAAAAUAUUUAUAAGAAUUUUUAGAGUAUGGAUUUUAUAGACGUUUGGAGAUCAGGGUUUUUGGUAUAUGACAAGCUUCCUCAUUUUCUGAGCUGGUUCUUCAAAAGACCCCGUAAUACAAAUUACCAGUGUUUGGAAAUGCGAUCAAUGUGGGUAAGAGCACAGUGGUACUUAAACCAUAAAUCAGCCCCACAACAACGCCUUUCAUUCCUGCGAUAUCAGUAAGAUUUGCAGCCAAAGGCUUUUGAAGUCAGAUGGAAAAACACAUUUGUCUGAGUAAUUAUCGGGCUACAUGCUAAUGAGCAAUGCUGGCCGGGUAAUUCAGCACGAGGGAAGGGAGCUGGGGCAGAGCAUCAUUUUCCUGGAGGGUUUUCUUAAAACACCCAUCAUCUCCCGGGAUGUUCCCCCUUCCCGGCAGCCCUGCGGCAGGAUCCGGCCCACGGGGGCAUUUCCCCAGCUGCUCCCUGCCCCCCUCGGGGGUACUUGGCAAACACUGGGGCAGCUCCUGGGGGUGCAGGAGCAUCCCAGCAGUGCCGUGUCCUCGGGGAGCACCGUGGGAAGGGAUCAGCAAACCUCUGCCGAGUGGAGACGAUGGAGACCGUUUCCUUUUAAUGCUUGCCAGGUAUCCUGGAGCUGUAAAUACACCGAGCCCGAUGGCUUCUGCUGUAACGUAUCUAGUUUACAAGAUUGUACUAUAAAUUAUAGAUGCAUAUCAUGACUGCAGUUUGCACUGAGAGACUCGCCUAUUGAUCUGUCUCCUGCUGGUUAAUAUUCAGGACUGCCACGGCCCUGCUUUUGGAAGCACCGCGCUGUUGCAGGUCGUUUGUAUGUCUCUCCGUCUGCACUUGGAGCAAGCACUUUCCCAGCCCGACUGUACGAGCAUGCAGGGAAGCAGCUAUGGAGCUGCUGUAAUAAACCAGUUUUACGAUA